CAACCACUUACAGUACAGAGACAUCAGCCCAGAGCAAACCCUUCCAACACCCCUUCAAAAAAUAGAAGACAAUUCAGAAAAUGCGAUCAACAGCUUUUAUUGUACAAUGCACAGCACAUACCAGCAGUCAACAGGAAAACACAGGUUAAGAACGUCACUACAUGAAGAGCAAGAUACAUCACUAAAUCGGUGCAUUGCAGAUCAAGCCACUGGUGUCAAUAACGAAAUUUAAGGAGAAAUACACAUUGCCAAGAAGAACUUGCCAACGCACGAAGAGUUGCUGGAAAGGAGAUCGUCGGAGCGCUGAGGACCAAAAGCAGCAGAACUGAAGGCAAAAGAAAAGGGACCAAGUUAACAAGAUAUCGGACGGAUUUACUGAAUCGAUUCACUUGACAUUCUCAAGUCUAUUGACUUUUGAAAUAAGCUGACUGAAUAAAGAAAUGUACAAACGCGCUCAAAUUCAAUUAAAAACUAAAAGGUAAUUUCAUGAGAAAUCACAGAUGCACCCCAAUCCCACUACUCCAAUGUUUAGAAAAUACGUUAAUCUACAUAGAAAUGCAAUGCUACGUAUACAUUUAAGAUCAAGUACCACGUACGGCGUGUAUCGUAUUUGAUUCAACUUUCUGCGUUGAAAACAUUGUUAAAAUUUGUAGUAUCCAUCUUUACCAAACUGAUGAACAAAAGAACCAUAAAUCUGCUUUCCAAAGCAUUUUGGUACCCUUUUAAAAGGGCGAAAUGCAACGUCUUGUUUCUGUUACGAUUUAAUAUUGCUACCUAUAUUUUGGGUGCUUGGCCCGGUCUAUUUCUCGUGUUCCGACAGUUCUCUUAUUUAAUGCAGUUUCUCUUCAGCUCUAGAGUCUUCCUGUCCUCUACAACAUCGCCUAAGCACAGACCUUCCUGGCUGGUGAAACUGGAAAGCUGUUGAAGACCCCAUGGCUCCGUUGAAAGACUAAAUUCCCGUAUGGAACAGGUAGUAGGUGUAUUCCCUGCUGGAAAAAGAAGAAAGAAAACAACGUUUCGGCCGUGGAGCCUUCUUCAGGUAAUUACUGUAGCUGAUUUAAACGUUUUGGCCU
rnacentral:lncRNA from 1 species